UUCAUAAGCGGAGGAAAAGAAACUAACAAGGAUUCCCCUAGUAACUGCGAGUGAAGCGGGAAGAGCUCAAAUUUGAAAUCUGGCGGCUCUGCCGUCUGAGUUGUAUUCUGGAGAAGUGCUUUCCGCGCCGGACCGUGUACAAGUCCCUUGGAACAGGGCGUCGCAGAGGGUGAGAAUCCCGUCUUUGACACGGACCCCCGGUGCAGUGCGAUGCGCUCUCGAAGAGUCGAGUUGUUUGGGAAUGCAGCUCAAAACGGGUGGUAAAUUCCAUCUAAAGCUAAAUAUUGGCGAGAGACCGAUAGCGAACAAGUACCGUGAGGGAAAGAUGAAAAGCACUUUGGAAAGAGAGUAAAACAGUACGUGAAAUUGUUGAAAGGGAAACGCUUGAAGUCAGUCGCGUCUGCCGGAACUCAGCCUUGCUUCUGCUUGGCGCACUUUCCGGUCCGACGGGCCAGCAUCGGUUUCGGGCGGCGGACACCGGCUUGGGGAAGGUGGCGGCUCUGGCCGCGUUACAGCCCCUCGUCUCGAACGUCGCUGGGGACCGAGGUAUCCGGCGAAAGCCUGGGAUGCUGGCGUAAUGGCUUUAAGCGACCCGUCUUGAAACACGGACCAAGGAGUGCUACGUGCUCGCGAGUGUUUGGGUGGAAAACCCCGGACGCGCAAUGAAAGUGAAAGUCGAUACCCCUCGCGGGGGCACCGACGCCCGAGCCCGAUGUUUUCGGACGGCCUUGCGGUAGAGCGAGUGCGUUGCGACCCGAAAGAUGGUGAACUAUUCCUGAGGAGGGCGAAGCCAGAGGAAACUCUGGUGGAGGCUCGUAGCGGUUCUGACGUGCAAAUCGAUCGCAGGACUUGGGUAUAGGGGCGAAAGACUAAUCGAACCAUCUAGUAGCUGGU
rnacentral:rRNA from 1 species